rnacentral:lncRNA from 1 species
AUACAAAGAAUUUCUAAAGACCCUUUAAAGAAAUCAUAAAGAAAUAAUAUAGAAUUCAAAAAAAAAUACUAAAAUAGAAAUUUUAAUAAAAUAUUAAAAUAAAAACUUGAAUUAAAUUUUAGUCAAAAUCUAAUAAAAUCUUAGUCAAAACCUAAUAAAAUCUUAGUCAAAACCUAAUAAAAUCUUAAUCAAUCUUUAGUCAAACCUUAGUCAAAUCUUAGUCAAAUCUUGAUCAAAUCCUAGUCAAAUCCUAGUCAAAUCCUAAUCAAAUCUUAAAUAAAUUCUAGUCAAACUUUAAUCAAAUCCUAAAAAAAUCCUAAAAAAAUCUAAUCAAAUCUUAAUCAAAUUCUAAAUAAAUCUUAAUCAAAUCCUAAACAAAUCCUAAUCCAAUCAUAAUCAAAUCCUAAAUAAACC